CAAGAAGAAGAACGACG
rnacentral:sRNA from 1 species